rnacentral:tRNA from 1 species
CAGGGAGUAGUUUAAUUAGAAUGUCAGCUUUGGGUGCUGGUGGUGGGGU